AUUGAACGCUGGCGGCAUGCCUUACACAUGCAAGUCGAACGGCAGCACGGGUGCUUGCACCUGGUGGCGAGUGGCGAACGGGUGAGUAAUACAUCGGAACAUGUCCUGUAGUGGGGGAUAGCCCGGCGAAAGCCGGAUUAAUACCGCAUACGAUCUACGGAUGAAAGCGGGGGACCUUCGGGCCUCGCGCUAUAGGGUUGGCCGAUGGCUGAUUAGCUAGUUGGUGGGGUAAAGGCCUACCAAGGCGACGAUCAGUAGCUGGUCUGAGAGGACGACCAGCCACACUGGGACUGAGACACGGCCCAGACUCCUACGGGAGGCAGCAGUGGGGAAUUUUGGACAAAGGGCGAAAGGCUGAUCCAGCAAUGCCGCGUGUGUGAAGAAGGCCUUCGGGUUGUAAAGCACUUUUGUCCGGAAAGAAAUCCUUGGCCCUAAUACGGUCGGGGGAUGACGGUACCGGAAGAAUAAGCACCGGCUAACUACGUG
rnacentral:rRNA from 1 species